AGAAGUGGAGCCAUCCUUGAACUCCAGGACGCCACCAGCACCCAAAUCUCUAGAAUUCAGGCUUCAAGGACCCAGGGAUCCGUGACCACCCAGACUGCACAAUGAGCUCUUCCAUGUAUCAAUUUGUACAGGACUUUAGUUGAAGUGUAGUAGGCUUUGAGAAAUUAGUCGUGCCAGAAUUUGGCAAAUUUGCAAGGAGACUUGUAACAUUGACAGCCAGUAAUGAG
rnacentral:lncRNA from 1 species